GACGAACGCUGGCGGCGUGCCUAAUACAUGCAAGUAGAACGCUGAAGGAGGAGCUUGCUUCUCUGGAUGAGUUGCGAACGGGUGAGUAACGCGUAGGUAACCUGCCUGGUAGCGGGGGAUAACUAUUGGAAACGAUAGCUAAUACCGCAUAAUAUUGACUAUUGCAUGAUAGUCAAUUAAAAGGUGCAAUUGCAUCACUACCAGAUGGACCUGCGUUGUAUUAGCUAGUUGGUGAGGUAACGGCUCACCAAGGCGACGAUACAUAGCCGACCUGAGAGGGUGAUCGGCCACACUGGGACUGAGACACGGCCCAGACUCCUACGGGAGGCAGCAGUAGGGAAUCUUCGGCAAUGGACGGAAGUCUGACCGAGCAACGCCGCGUGAGUGAAGAAGGUUUUCGGAUCGUAAAGCUCUGUUGUAAGAGAAGAACGAGUGUGAGAGUGGAAAGNUCACACNGNGACGGC
rnacentral:rRNA from 1 species